rnacentral:rRNA from 1 species
UACGGGUGGUGCAAGUGUUAUUCCUCAUGACUAGGCGUAAAGGGUGUGUAGAUGGAAAAUAAGGCUUUAAAUUAAUAUGGAACUUGUUUUUUGACCUAUUUUACUAGAGUGAUUAAGAUGAUAAUGGAACUUCCAGCAUUAGGGUUAAAAUAUGUUUAAACUGGAAGGAACACCAAGGGCAAAGGCAAUUAUCAAUUAAUUACUGACAUUGAGACACGAAGGCAUGGGGAUCAAAUGGG